rnacentral:rRNA from 1 species
UACAUGGGGUGCAAACGUUGCUUGGAAUUAUUGGGCGUAAAGCGCACGUAGGCGGUCCGUUAAGUCGGAUGUGAAAGCCCCCGGCUCAACCGGGGAAGUGCAUCCGAAACUGGCAGGCUAGAGUACGAAAGAGGGUCGCGGAAUUCCCGGUGUAGAGGUGAAAUUCGUAGAUAUCGGGAGGAACACCGGUGGCGAAGGCGGCGACCUGGGUCGAUACUGACGCUGAGGUGCGAAAGCGUGGGGAGCAAACAGG